GGCUGAUUUGCUAUCCAAUGAAAAAAUUUACCAAAUGCCAGGUAAAACACUCUCAACGGAUGAAUGAUCCUCCCCUCAGACCUUGGGUAGCAAUAGCGAAAGAUGGUCAGAUCCUGUGCUGCCACUGUACCUGCAUGGCUGGAUUGGGUGAAACAUGUUCACAUUCAGCAGCAUCCCUGUUCGCCCUGGAGACAUUAAUACGUAUGAAGACGGCCACUUCAUGCACAU